rnacentral:rRNA from 1 species
UACGUAGGGUGCAAGCGUUAAUCGGAAUUACUGGGCGUAAAGCGUGCGUAGGCGGCUUUGCAAGUCAGAUGUGAAAUCCCCGGGCUUAACCUGGGAACUGCAUUUGUGACUGCAUGGCUGGAGUGCGGCAGAGGGGGAUGGAAUUCCGCGUGUAGCAGUGAAAUGCGUAGAUAUGCGGAGGAACACCGAUGGCGAAGGCAAUCCCCUGGGCCUGCACUGACGCUCAUGCACGAAAGCGUGGGGAGCAAACAGG